GUCAUUCCACGUCGUGGUGCGGCUGUUGUGGUCCACGAAGAAGGGCCAGCCGGUCUGCGGGUCGAUCUUGAUCUCCCAGCCGGGGGGCAGGGGGUCGCGGUCGCUGGCGCCGUUGCCGGACGCCAUCUGCACCAUGGGCUCAAGCGCUGUCCAGAAGGAGGUCUGGAAUGUUGAUCUGACACCAUAACGAAGCCAGGGAGAAAAUGGAAGAGCAAAUGGAAACUCACCUGCCUGCCUUUUGAAACCCAACGAAGAAAGAUUGCAUCAGCUCCUGGACCUCAUAUCUCAAAUAUAGAAACUCUCGUUGCAGUGAACAACUUUAAAGAAAAAUCACAUCCUUUGGGGUUUUGGUCUUUUUUAUGGUGGAGGCUGAUUCUUGCUAUCCUAAAUCUUGACCUUAUUUGGGAAGUGGAGACCAAAUUGAUGCAUGAAAAAGUUUUGUUUGGUUGAUUCAGUGGUGGUUGCACUUGUAGCCUCAACAGGGCAUCCCCAUUCCUAUGGGAGAGAGAGAGGGUGCUCCAGAUAGAGAAUGUUUCAGAGCUUCCACUUUAGAUCCUUAGGCCUGCAGACUCAUUCCUUCCCCCAGAAACAUUUUGAGAUGCUGCCUUGGACUAUUGUGGGGUCCAAUUUUCCAACUCAAAUUCAGAGAAUACCCUGGGACCCUCCACAACACCUUUUGUCUCUUUCUGCCCUCAAAUUACUCCUUUUGGAGCAAAUGCUAGAGAGGCCUUCUGAUUAUUUCCAGUGGAAUGGUUCCCACUUACAUAGGUUUACUUAUCAGCUUUGAAGUCCAAAAAUGCAGUUUUGUGAAAACACAGAGGCGAUUAAGCUACAGGGACUGACUCAGGUCACAAAUACACAAGAGACUGAUGUAUAAACCCAAAUGCCAGUGUACUAAUUUACCAUCAGAAAUAUUACUUUUGAAGGAGCUGGACCCUCAAGUUCAUUGGUCAGUGUCUAUCUGAUUCUUACUUAUAUCUGAAGCUCUGAGCACUGGGCUGGGCCCAGAGUCCAUAUUCAAUAAAUACUGAUGUUUAUUGAA